UUCCGGUUGAUCCUGCCGGACCCGACUGCUAUCGGGCUGGGAUUAAGACAUGCAAGUCGCGCGCAGUCGCCAUGCCCGACUGCGCGGCGGACGGCUCCGUAACACGUCCUCAACCGAACCUCGGGACCCGGAUAACCUCGGGAAACUGAGGUUAAUCCGGGAUAGGAGAGGAUGCCUGGAAGGGCCCUCUCCGAAAGGGUUACCCGGGGCUAUGGCCGGGUAACCGCCCGAGGACGGGAGGGCGGCCCAUCAGGUAGUAGGUGGGGUAACGGCCCACCUAGCCUGUGACGGGUACGGGCGCUGGGAGGCGGAGCCCGGAGAGGGGCACUGAGACAAGGGCCUCAGCCCUACGGGGUGCAGCAGUCGCGAAACCUCCGCAAUGCGCGAAAGCGUGACGGGGUCAGCCCGAGUGCCACCCGUGAGGGUGGCUGUGGCCGGCCGUAAAAAAGCCGGCUUAGAAAGCGGAGGGCAAGGCUGGUGCCAGCCGCCGCGGUAAAACCAGCUCCGCGAGUGGUCGGGACUAUUACUGGGCUUAAAGCGUCCGUAGGCGGUCCCGUGUGUCCGCGGCCAAAUCCCAGGGCUUAACCCUGGGAACGCUGCGGAUACUACGGGACUAGGGACCGGGCGAGGGCGGGGGUACUCACCGGGUGGGGGCGAAAUCCUGAGAUCCGGUGAGGACCGGCGGUGGCGAAGGCGCCCGCCUAGAACGGCUCCGACGCUGAGGGACGAAAGCCGGGGGAGCGAAGGGGAUUAGAUACCCCCGUAGUCCCGGCUGUAAACGAUGCCCGCUAGGUGUUGGACUGGCUUGAGCCAGUCCAGUGCCUGAAGGGAAACCGUUAAGCGGGCCGCCUGGGGAGUACGGCCGCAAGGCUGAAACUUAAAGGAAUUGGCGGGGGCCCACUACAAGGGGAGGAGCCUGCGGCUUAAUUGGAUUCAACGCCGGGAAACUUACCGGGGGGGACGGCGGAAUGAGGGCCAGGCUAAUGACCUUGCCCGACCAGCCGAGAGGUGGUGCACGGCCGUCGCCAGCUCGUACCGUGAGGCGUCCGGUUUAGUCCGGCAACGAGCGAGACCCA
rnacentral:rRNA from 1 species